rnacentral:lncRNA from 1 species
GGCCCAUCAAGCCCGAUAUGAUCCGAACGAUCUGAGCCCGGGAGAAGGCGUCGAAAUACUCACCAAGCACGGUUGGAUCGUUACAGGAACAGCGGAUGCUCGUAACAGAAUUGAUCAUGCUAAACGUGACUAGAAGAUUGAACUACACAAGCCGGACGAGGACACGCUGCGGCUACUGGAGUGAUUGAUGAACAAAUGGCAAAACAAGAGGAAUUGAAGAAGCAAACACGGCAGCCAAAAUCUACAUAUCAUCCGGAGAAAUCCAGAACAGAGGCAGCGCUCGUAAGUGAUGCUCUGGAGUUGAUUCUGAAGAAUGCGGGGGCCGGAUUGUUUUGAGAACUUUAAUUUUCAAGGCAAUUUUCCUCUCGGUAGGAGUCGAAAAGAAAUGCAAUGACAGAACUUAGUUAUCAAAUCAAUUGAAAGAAAUAUUAAUAAAGGAUGUUUGGCUAGCUAGAAAACGAAGGAAAAGAGAAUUGAGAAGAGAAAGAUCUGGAAACC